rnacentral:rRNA from 1 species
GAUGAACGCUGGCGGCGUGCCUAACACAUGCAAGUCGAGCGAUCUUCUUCGGAAGAGAGCGGCGGACGGGUGAGUAACGCGUGGGUAACCUGCCCUGUACACACGGAUAACAUACCGAAAGGUAUGCUAAUACGGGAUAACAUACUUUUAUCGCAUGGUAGAAGUAUCAAAGCUCCGGCGGUACAGGAUGGACCCGCGUCUGAUUAGCUAGUUGGUACGGUAACGGCUUACCAAGGCGACGAUCAGUAGCCGACCUGAGAGGGUGAUCGGCCACAUUGGAACUGAGACACGGUCCAAACUCCUACGGGAGGCAGCAGUGGGGAAUAUUGCACAAUGGGCGAAAGCCUGAUGCAGCAACGCCGCGUGAGCGAUGAAGGCCUUCGGGUCGUAAAGCUCUGUCCUCAAGGAAGAUAAUGACGGUACUUGAGGAGGAAGCCCCGGCUAACUACGUGCCAGCCGCCGCCGUAA